rnacentral:rRNA from 1 species
UACGUAGGGUGCGAGCGUUGUCCGGAAUUAUUGGGCGUAAAGAGCUCGUAGGCGGUUUGUUGCGUCGGCCGUGAAAACCUGCAGCUUAACUGUGGGCCUGCGGCCGAUACGGGCAGACUUGAGUUCGGUAGGGGAGACUGGAAUUCCUGGUGUAGCGGUGAAAUGCGCAGAUAUCAGGAGGAACACCGGUGGCGAAGGCGGGUCUCUGGGCCGAUACUGACGCUGAGGAGCGAAAGCGUGGGGAGCAAACGGG